CAGAGGGUAGUUUAAAGUUAGAAUCCUAGCUUUGGGAGCUAGGGGUAGGGGUUAAAGUCCCCUUUCUCUGA
ensembl:Mt_tRNA